UGGGGGAUAUUGCACAAUGGGCGAAAGCCUGAUGCAGCGACGCCGCGUGGGGGAUGAAGGCUUUCGGGUUGUAAACCUCUUUCGCUAUCGAACAAGGCCCGCUUAGGGUGGGUUGAGGGUAAGUGGAGAAGAAGCGCCGGCUAACUACGUGCCAGCAGCCGCGGUAAUACGUAGGGCGCGAGCGUUGUCCGGAAUUAUUGGGCGUAAAGGGCUUGUAGGCGGCUUGUUGCGCCUGCUGUGAAAACGCGGGGCUUAACUUCGCGCGUGCAGUGGGUACGGGCAGGGUUGAGUGUGGUAGGGGUGACUGGAAUUCCAGGUGUAGCGGUGGAAUGCACAGAUAUCUGGAGGAACACCGAUGGCGAAGGCAGGUCACUGGGCCAUUACUGACGCUGAGGAGCGAAAGCAUGGGUAGCGAACAGG
rnacentral:rRNA from 1 species